AAUAAAUGGUUGCAAAAUAAAAAAUGGUAAUUAAAUUUUAAUAGAAAGGUAUAAAAUUCGAGUAAGGGUAACGAGUUGCAGCAGCGGCGAAGCGGAACGUCACGGCUGAUCGGGUACGGCUGUCAACCGUUCGACCUAGGACCUAGAGCGAGGUGAUAGCGCCAUUCUAAUCGCGACCGUCGAGGGGUGCGGAUCUACUUGUCAAACAUAUAUGAAAGUGUAGCAGUGACUACAGAUGCAAAAGACUGGACUUUGUCUUCGAGGGGUCAUGAUUUAAGGGGUCCCAGACACCCCCAGAUGAGAUUAGGUCUGCAUGCAGAAAGCACAGCCGAAAUCAGUCAAAAGCAGCACAAGACUGAACAAUUAUUAUAAUAAUUGUUUGACAAAUUUGUAUUCACUUCACGCAAAUAAAUCAUUGUAAAAAAA